rnacentral:rRNA from 1 species
AGUGAACGCUGGCGGUAGGCCUAACACAUGCAAGUCGAACGGCAGCACAGUAAGAGCUUGCUCUUACGGGUGGCGAGUGGCGGACGGGUGAGGAAUACAUCGGAAUCUACUUUUUCGUGGGGGAUAACGUAGGGAAACUUACGCUAAUACCGCAUACGACCUACGGGUGAAAGCAGGGGAUCUUCGGACCUUGAGCGAUUGAAUGAGCCGAUGUCGGAUUAGCUAGUUGGCGGGGUAAAGGCCCACCAAGGCGACGAUCCGUAGCUGGUCUGAGAGGAUGAUCAGCCACACUGGAACUGAGACACGGUCCAGACUCCUACGGGAGGCAGCAGUGGGGAAUAUUGGACAAUGGGCGCAAGCCUGACCCAGCCAUACCGCGUGGGUGAAGAAGGCCUUCGGGUUGUAAAGCCCUUUUGUUGGGAAAGAAAAGCAGCAGGUUAAUACCCCGCUGUUCUGACGGUACCCAAAGAAUAAGCACCGGCUAACUUCGUG